CUCUCCUAUGUCAUGAGCCACAUUGAGAGACAUAUCUCCUGGUAAGACUAUGUCGGCUUCCACGAAGUAGAAGGAGCCACACUUGUAUGCUCUCACCGUUGCGAUGUGCUUGAUGUCCCAGUGAUGGUUCCAUAUGAGGAUCUCUUUCGGGUUGAGUCUGCAGCACGAAGAAUCAUAUUAAGCUGGGGUUGAGAUCAAAUUACUUAUGUCAACAUGGCUUGUCCUGAAAGAUAAUUAUAAACCUUCAUGAUGAGUUCCCUCCCCGAUUCAAACAAUAUCUGCAGUCCAAGAGUGCACAUUACUGAUGCAAAGACAACUAUACCCUGCAGACCAGAACGGCUGCAUCCUUUCCUUGCCAAUGGGGUAGCGGAGCUGGUUCGGUUUUCUCAUUGCAUGAGCAGUGAACCAUAGAAUGAAACCUGAUAACAGAUCUAGCAGUGAGUCCAGAGUCGAAGCUAUGACAGCGAGAGAUCUGCUCUCCACUGAUGCAUAAACUUUCGCCAGGAACAGCACCAUGUUCGCUAUGUUGGAUGUAUAUAUUGCCACCUUCUCACUCCUCGCCAGUUGCUUCAUUUCAUCCUAUAUUCCAGAUACUCCUUAAACUCAUCUGCUGUGAGUCGCCACGAAGGCAACCUCGGAGCUGGCUCAGCGUGCCCUUCGGGAGACAGGAGCUCGAGUCGGUAAUCCGUGGAGUCAGUUCUCAUGUCACUCGCCAUUUCUACUUCUACGUCUGAUAAUUUUUCUGGCAAUGGAAGAUAACGUGUGCUACUGCUUCUUAUAUGGACCUCCGCAGGCAUGGAGAAUGCCGUUGAUAUCAUUUUCCAGGAAAUUGCGUCUGUAUACACAUAAGAGCUGACUUUGCUUGCCGUGGAAUAAUUACCACAAUGCCAUAGUCUACGACACGUAUAAGCUAUGACACGUAUGGAAAGAAUCCUAUUCCCUUUUCAGGAAUAUGAUCCAUCGUCACUUUGUUCACACAUCAUGUUUAUGCAUUCUUCGCGAUUAAGUCGAUUAUGUUUGUGGCGGGACCGGUAUCGAGAUUCAGGACUGUUCAGCUCUUUGAAUAAUACAGACACUUACAAUUAAUGUAACAACUGUCCCUUGAAAUGCAAGAACGAUCCCGACCCCGUAUGGUCAAGAACCACGAGUUCAUUAAGAGGAAAGCAUGCUCAAGAACCGCGAGUUCGUUAAGAAGAAAAUAACGUGGAACGCUAAAUCUGUUGCCGACGGAGGAGCUGGCGAUUAACUGUUCCUUCCCAAAAACAGAAGGGGCAGUAACUAAAAGUAAUGGCACCUUCAAACUGUGUUCUUCUUGUGCUCAGGCCUAUGGGUGAACUCGAAGUCUAUAUGCA